AUGUCCGAUAUGUCAUAUAGGUUUGAAGAUGCACAACAUUGCUUGUUUACCUGUGAAAGAGCGAUGCAUAUCUGGAGUGAGCUGGGGCUAAAAGAAGAAAUUCAGAAAGCGGUGCUAGAGGACCGAUCAGGAUCUUUCACUAUGUCUUCCCUCAUGGAUCAGCAUGAUACUGUAAGUAAUCUAUCUAUGGCAGAGUUGAUUGUUGUCGGGAGCUGGUAUAUCUGGUGGCAGAGACGGCAAAUGGUCAAGGGGAAGACAGUCCGGCCGCCGAACCAAACUAUAGUAUUAAUAAAAGCUCUAGCGACAAAUUUCAUCCGCUCACUAACACCAAACCAGCCAGUGGUAAAACGUGAUCAUAUGCGGCACAAGCCAAAGAGAGGAGUGGUCAAAAUUAAUGUUGAUGCAUCCUUCAGCGUGGAGAAAGUGACUGCAGGUACAGGAGUAGUAGCACGAGAUCAGCAUGGCGAGUUUAUUGUUGUGGCUGCUUGGUUUAUACCACAUGUGGUGUCAGUGGAUGCGGCAGAGCUAAUAGCUAUUCGUAAUGGUUUUUACCAAGCAGCCAAAAUUGGAUGCAACAGCUUACACAUUGAGUCUGACAGCUCUAACGCAGUUGAAGCUCUUAACCUUGAAGCUUUCCUUGGGCAGGAUUCGGAAACUCUUUUGGAGUGUAAGGAGAUGGGCUUAGAUUUUGCUCAGUAUGAAGUAACUAAAUGCCCUCGAGAAGUUAGCUAA
rnacentral:rRNA from 1 species